AGCGAACGCUAGCGGCAGGCUUAACACAUGCAAGUCGAGCGCCAGGUUUCGGCCUGGAGCGGCGAACGGGUGAGUAACACGUAGGUCACGUACCCUAUGGUGGGGAAUACCCCGGGGAAACUCGGAUCAAUGCCCCAUAUGUCCGAAAGGAUGAAAGCGCUUCGGCGCGCCAGAGGAUCGGCCUGCGGCCCAUUAUUUAAUCCUAGUUGGUGAGGUAACGGCUCACCAAGGGUACGAUGGGUAGCUGGUCUGAGAGGACGAUCAGCCACACUGGAACUGAGACACGGUCCAGACUCCUACGGGAGGCAGCAGUGGGGAAUAUUGGACAAUGGGCGAAAGCCUGAUCCAGCCAUGCCGCGUGAGUGAUGAAGGCCUUCGGGUUGUAAAGCUCUGUCGUGGGGGAAGAGGUUCUGACGGUACCCCACAAGAAAGCACCGGCUAACUCCGUGCCAGCCGCCGCAGUAAAAC
rnacentral:rRNA from 1 species